UCUCUUGUGCUCGGGCACGCACUGAUACCAGUGAGGUCUUUACCGAGGUUCAGCUAUUUGCUGGUUGCAAAUUAACUACCAAACCCGUCUCCUCUCCGUCAGGAGUUGAGCAAUUUUUGUCAGAAAACCUAAAUGGUUUAUUUU
rnacentral:snRNA from 1 species